UCCACUAACAAAAUAACAACUAAAGACAAAGUCAACUUUGAAUCAUUCUUCAACAAGCCCUCUUCAAACUUUUCUCCCAUCGCAGACUCUUCACUUAUGGGCUUCUUCUCUCUCAACUUAGAGACAAAUGAGUAGAACCCAUUGCUCAAGGGGGAAGAGCAGCUCACCUUAGUUCUUUAGGACAUGAUUUCUCUGUUGGAGGAUAUGAAGUUAGAUGCCUCGUCAGAGGCGGCGACAGUGGAGCUUGUAGUGAAAGGGGUUAUCGGGAAGAUGGUUGAUGAGAUAGAGUAUGGGCUCAUGAUGGCGAUGGAUUACAUGUUAUUCAUUUUGGACAUUAUGGUAGAAGCAAAUUUAAAUAGUUUGAGAGGAAUUCAAAUGAAGAUAUGAAAGUUAGACUUUCAUCAAAAUUGGUCUACUUUUGAAGCCUAAUUCACGACCGUAUUUAUUCCACUACAUUGCAAGUUCUGUGCAUGUUGCAUAUGGACAUGAUAAGUAUGUGUUGUGUAUGCGAUGUUAUUUAUGGAGAUGAAUGAAAGUGUAACAUGUUAUUUUAGAAGUGUAGCCAGAAAUUUUUAAAGUACAGUAGAUUAUUUUCAUUGACAAUAAGCUUUAGCGGUCUUGAUUGUAUUUUGUGUAUACAAUAAAUUUGUA